AGUGAACGCUGGCGGUAGGCCUAACACAUGCAAGUCGAACGGCAGCACAGUAAGAGCUUGCUCUUACGGGUGGCGAGUGGCGGACGGGUGAGGAAUACAUCGGAAUCUACUUUUUCGUGGGGGAUAACGUAGGGAAACUUACGCUAAUACCGCAUACGACCUACGGGUGAAAGCAGGGGAACUUCGGACCUUGCGCGAUUGAAUGAGCCGAUGUCGGAUUAGCUAGUUGGCGGGGUAAAGGCCCACCAAGGCGACGAUCCGUAGCUGGUCUGAGAGGAUGAUCAGCCACACUGGAACUGAGACACGGUCCAGACUCCUACGGGAGGCAGCAGUGGGGAAUAUUGGACAAAGGGCGCAAGCCUGAUCCAGCCAUACCGCGUGGGUGAAGAAGGCCUUCGGGUUGUAAAGCCCUUUUGUUGGGAAAGAAAAGCAGCAGGUUAAUACCCCGCUGUUCUGACGGUACCCAAAGAAUAAGCACCGGCUAACUUCGUG
rnacentral:rRNA from 1 species